UUUCCGUAGGUGAACCUGCGGAAGGAUCAUUAUUGGAUUUUGAAACUUCAGGCUGCUGCUGGCUCUCCUCGGAGGGCAUGUGCACGCUUGUUGUCCAUUAUUUCUCCCACUGUGCACAAAUUGUAGACCUUUCAGUAGGCCUAUGUUGUUUUUCACAAUCUCUGAAUGUAAUAGAAUGGUUUUGAAUCUUGGGAAAUACAAUACAACUUUCAGCAACGGAUCUCUUGGCUCUCGCAUCAAUGAAGAACGCAGC
rnacentral:misc_RNA from 1 species